rnacentral:tRNA from 1 species
GAGGUUGUGGCUCAGUGGUAGAGUGCUUGCUUAGCAUGUGUGAGGCACUGGGUUCAAUUCUCAGCACCUCA